GGAGGAAGGCUCUUGGGUCGUAAACCUCUUUUCUCAGGGAAGAACACAWUGACGGUACCUGAGGAAUAAGCAUCGGCUAACUCCGUGCCAGCAGCCGCGGUAAUACGGAGGAUGCAAGCGUUAUCCGGAAUGAUUGGGCGUAAAGCGUCCGCAGGUGGCUAUGUAAGUCUGCUGUUAAAGCGUCUAGCUCAACUAGAUAAGAGCAGUGGAAACUACAAGGCUAGAGUGCGUUCGGGGCAGAGGGAAUUCCUGGUGUAGCGGUGAAAUGCGUAGAGAUCAGGAAGAACACCGGUGGCGAAGGCGCUCUGCUAGGCCGYAACUGACACUGAGGGACGAAAGCUAGGGGAGCGAAUGGGAUUAGAUACCCCAGU
rnacentral:rRNA from 1 species